rnacentral:rRNA from 1 species
UACAGGGGGGGCAAGCGUUGUUCGGAAUUACUGGGCGUAAAGGGCUCGUAGGCGGCCAACUAAGUCCGACGUGAAAUCCCCAGGCUUAACCUGGGAACUGCGUCGGAUACUGGUUGGCUUGAAUCCGGGAGAGGAAUGCGGAAUUCCAGGUGUAGCGGUGAAAUGCGUAGAUAUCUGGAGGAACACCGGUGGCGAAGGCGGCAUUCUGGACCGAUAUUGACGCUGAGGAGCGAAAGCCAGGGGAGCAAACGGG